rnacentral:tRNA from 2 species
GUGUGUGUAAUUUAAAAAAAAUAUCAAGCCGUGACCUUGACUAUAGAAAUUAAUCUCUCACACAC